GAUGAACGCUGGCGGCGUGCCUAAUUCAUGCAAGUCGAGCGAACAGACGAGGAGCUUGCUCCUGUUACGUUAGCGACGGACGUGUGAGUCACACGUAGGUAACCUACCUAUACGACUGGGAUAACUUCGGGAAACCGGCGCUCCUACCGGAUAAUAUUUCGAACCGCAUGGUUCUAUAGUGAAAGAUGGCUUUGCUAUCACUUAUAGAUGGAUCUGCGCCUUAUUAGCUAGAUGGGAAGGUCACGGCUUACCACGGCAACGAUACGUAGCCGACAUGGGAGGGUGAUCGGGCACACUAGAACUGAGACACGGUCCACACUACGACGGGAGGCAGCAGUAGGGAAACUGUCGAAAUGGGCGAAAGGCCGACGUAGGCACGCAGCGUGAGUGACGACAGUGUAGGGAUGGGAAGACACAGUUAGUAGGGGAGAACAAAGGUGUAAGUUAGUGUGCACGUUAGGACGGUACAUAAUCAGAAAUGCACGGCUAAACACGGG
rnacentral:rRNA from 1 species